GAUGAACGCUGGCGGCGCGCCUAAUGCAUGCAAGUCGAGCGAGAAGACGUAGCAAUACGUUUGUAAAGCGGCGAACGGGUGAGGAAUACAUGGGUAACCUACCCUAGAGUGGGGAAUAACUAGCCGAAAGGUUAGCUAAUACCGCGUACGCUCCUUGGACUUCGGUUCAGGGAGGAAAGCGAUGCCGAGGGUAUCGCGCUCUUGGAUGGGCUCAUGUCCUAUCAGCUUGNGGUGAGGUAACGGCUCACCAAGGCUUCGACGGGUAGCUGGUCUGAGAGGACGAUCAGCCACACUGGCACUGCGACACGGGCCAGACUCCUACGGGAGGCAGCAGUAAGGAAUAUUGCGCAAUGGGCGAAAAGCCUGACGCAGCGACGCCGCGUGGGGGAUGAA
rnacentral:rRNA from 1 species